AGUUCUGAGUAAGGGCUGGGCUACACUGGCGCUUACGACGCUGCCAACUUCUCGCUCGGGUGUGAAAAAACACAGCCCUGAGUGCAGCAAGUUACAGCACUGCAAAGCGC